AGUGGCGGACGGGUGAGUAACGCGUGAGAAUCUGCCUUGGGGUCGGGGACAACCACUGGAAACGGUGGCUAAUACCGGAUAAGCCGAUUGGUGAAAGAUUUAUUGCCCGAAGAGGAGCUCGCGUCUGAUUAGCUAGUUGGUGAGGUAAGAGCUCACCAAGGCAGCGAUCAGUAGCUGGUCUGAGAGGACGAUCAGCCACACUGGGACUGAGACACGGCCCAGACUCCUACGGGAGGCAGCAGUGGGGAAUUUUCCGCAAUGGGCGAAAGCCUGACGGAGCAAGACCGCGUGAGGGAGGAAGGCUCUUGGGUUGUAAACCUCUUUUCUCAGGGAAGAAGCUCUGACGGUACCUGAGGAAUCAGCCUCGGCUAACUCCGUGCCAGCAGCCGCGGUAAUACGGAGGAGGCAAGCGUUAUCCGGAAUUAUUGGGCGUAAAGCGUCCGCAGGUGGCGAUUCAAGUCUGCUGUCAAAGCACGGGGCUUAACUCCGUAAAGGCAGUGGAAACUGAAUAGCUAGAGUGCCGUAGGGGUAGAGGGAAUUCCCGGUGUAGCGGUGAAAUGCGUAUAGAUCGGGAAGAACAUCGGUGGCGAAAGCGCUCUACUGGACGGCAACUGACACUCAGGGACGAAAGCUAGGGGAGCGAAUGGGAUUAGAUACCCC
rnacentral:rRNA from 1 species